GGAAUGGCCUUAACAUGGAGAGUGGCAGAAUGGCAGAACAACCACUUUAAGCUGAAAACUCCUCGUUAGAACGUGUUCUGAUGCCUUUAAUGAAGAGCUUGUGAUUUGUAGGAGGGACAAGAUAAUUUCAAGGCUUUGUCAAUUCUUUGCUAGUUCUUUUCUUAGUAAAGAGUUUUCCAAGAACAUCUUCGUUAGAAUACAUGGCACAUCUUGAGAGGUGCUGCUGACGUCUAAGGGAAGCUGUUGAUUUGAGGAAUUUGAAGGUUUCUGGAAGAAGGAUUUGGAAAAUUUGAAGUGAACCUCUUUUGGGAAUUAAAAGUGCUAGGUCCCUUCUCAUGGGAUCGAAUAGCAGAGUCCUGGCUACGGGUUCAAAUGCCCUGCUGAAAUCCUCAGACAAUUCCAACAUCCACAAAGCUACGAAAGGAGCUGACUUGGGGACUACUAUUGAGAGAUACAGGACCUUUCUCCACAUCCUCCUCAGACAAGCCAUUCAAAUCACUACAGUUUAUACUGUAAGGUACUUUCUAUUACACUCUGGU
rnacentral:lncRNA from 1 species